UUUUUUUUUAUUUUUUUAUUUGUUAGUAUUGCAUACUAUUUUAGGAAAUUUUUAUGUUUAUAAAAAAUAGAAACAAAAUGUAGAAUUAUAAUAUUUUUUAUUGUUUCACAAUAAAUACUAUUAUUUUUGGUGUUGAAAUGUCGUAUUUUGUGUUAUCUGUUUUGUUGUGUUAUUAUUAGAAAAUUGUAUUUUUUUUUAUAUUUUUAGGAAUAAGAGAUUUUGUAGUGUUUUAAUUUUACGUUUUAUAACGUUUUCUUUUUUAAAAAAAAGAUAUUAGUGAAUAAUUAUUAAUUUUUUAAUAAUUAGAUUAUCUAAAAUUUAGUAGGUUAAUUAGAAUUUUGUGUUUGUUAGCAAAUUAAUUUGAGAACUUGAUUUUUGAUCAAAUGUUUUUUAAAGACUUAGGUUUUUUGAUAAAGCUGUCUUCUGCCCUAUGUUUGGUGUAAAUGGCAGUCUUAGCGUGAGGACAUUAAGGUAGCAAAAUAAUUUGUAUUUUUAAUGGGUUCCAGUAUGAAUGGAGAUAUUGGUUGAUUCUUUUCUUUUUUAUGUCUGAAUUAAAUAUUUAUUUAAGAAAAAAUAAUUAUAAUUAAACAAAGAUAAGUCUUCGGAAAUUUUUUUAUCAUUUUUCCUGUUGUUAUUGUGGUAGGUUUUCUAGGGUAGAAUUUUAUGUAAUUUUUUUUACUGAAAUCAUAAUAAAAAAUUACUUCGGAGUUAACAGAAAAUCAUAUCUAAUCUAGUUCUUAUAGUAAUGAUAAGUUUUACAUCGAUGUUGUAUUUUGGUAAAAUAAGAGAGGAGAAAGCUUAUUUAUUUAGACUGUUCUUCUAUUAGUAAACCAAACGUGAUAUUAGUUUAAUUCAUCGUGAGAUAGAAUUGUUUAUCUUGUUAAUUAUUAAGAAAUAAUGUAAUUAGUACGAAAGGAAGUUUAUUAAAGUUUGAAACUUUUUGAAAGGGUUGUUUCUUUUU
rnacentral:rRNA from 1 species